rnacentral:misc_RNA from 1 species
AAAAGUAAAAAUUAACUAAAAAAUUGCGCCCCCAAAAAUAUUGCGCCCUAGGCCAGUGCCUUGGUGGCCUAUGGGUAAAUCCACCCCUGUAGAUACCGCUAUAAAUAGUGAUAAUACGGAUGAAUUUAAAUAUCGGUCCAAUAAUAGCAUUACCCAGCCCAUCCGAAACAAAUCAAAAUGGCCUAGUUCCUAAGGGUAGAAAACAUUGUCACAGUUGUCUAGAACUCCUUUAGGCCGUCGAGUGUGCUACGUACAUAGCUGAUUACAUAAAAAGAAGAAGAGAAGAAGAUUACAGAAGAUUGGAAAUAUGUGGCGAUGGUGCUGGAUAAGUUGUUUUUGCGGAUAUUUACAUUGGCCAUGACAAUGGGAUCUGCAGGAAUAACCCUACAGGCACCCCCUCUGUACGACAAUCGGUUGCCAAUUAAUGUCAGGUUGUCGGAAAUACUUGCCCAUACACAAACAGUGAAACAGAAUUAUAAUAACAUUAAGUAAAUACGAUAAUUAUUGCUCAAUAUGGAUAACAUUAAUAAAAUGCGGGAUGAG